AAUGAACGCUGGCGGCGUGCCUAACACAUGCAAGUCGGAUGUGCCCGCAAGGGUGCAUGGCAGACGGGUGAGUAACGCGUGGGGAAUCUACCUUUUAGUGGGGAAUAACGCUCCGAAAGGAGUGGUAAUACCGCAUGUGACCAUUGGCUGGGAUGUUGAUGGUGAAACCCUGGGACCUUCGGGCCAGGGGCUAAAAGAGGAUCCUGCGUCUGAUUAGCUAGUUGGCGGGGUAACGGCCCACCAAGGCGACGAUCAGUAGCCGGCCUGAGAGGGUGAUCGGCCACACUGGAACUGAGACACGGUCCAGACUCCUACGGGAGGCAGCAGUGGGGAAUUUUGCGCAAUGGACGAAAGUCUGACGCAGCAACGCCGCGUGGGUGAUGAAGGUCUUCGGAUUGUAAAACCCUGUCGCCAGGGACGAAGGGUGAGGUGUGAAUAGCGCCUUACUUUGACGGUACCUGGAAAGGAAGCCCCGGCUAACUCUGUGCCAGCAGCCGCGGUAAAGUGACG
rnacentral:rRNA from 1 species